rnacentral:rRNA from 1 species
UACGUAGGGGCUAGCGUUAUCCUGAAUUACUGGGCGUAAAGGGUGCGUAGGUGGUUUCUUAAGUCAGAGGUGAAAGGCUACGGCUCAACCGUAGUAAGCCUUUGAAACUGAGAAACUUGAGUGCAGGAGAGGAGAGUAGAAUUCCUAGUGUAGCGGUGAAAUGCGUAGAUAUUGGGAGGAACACCGGUGGCGAAGGCGGCUUUCUGGCCAGUUACUGACGCUCAUGCGCGAAAGCAUGGGUAGCGAACAGGAUUAGAUACCCCGGUAGUCCCUGAG